ACAAGUGUCUGACCCUUUUUCCGCACCCUGACCACUGCUCCUCGUCUGACCCUCUGAGAGUUUGUUGCCCUGAUCUGUCUGCCCCCAUCCCUUGCCCUCCAAGCUCUGUCCAUCCCUGGGUGUGCUACGGGCCGCUACCACUGUAUUACCUGGACCUCUCUUUCCCCACUACACAAGGAAGAGGUUCCUGUUCCUUGCUCGUGCUUGCCUCUCCUUACCCUGGUCUUCAAUAAAGAAUUUUCUGAUUUUUACAUCUUGUCUGACUGAAAUUUCGGGUCCUCAGUUCUGAUCAUUACA